rnacentral:rRNA from 1 species
UACGGAGGGUGCAAGCGUUAAUCGGAAUUACUGGCGUAAAGCGCACGCAGGCGGUUUGUUAAGCUAGAUGUGAAAGCCCCGGGCUCAACCUGGGAUGGUCAUUUAGAACUGGCAGACUAGAGUCUUGGAGAGGGGAGUGGAAUUCCAGGUGUAGCGGUGAAAUGCGUAGAUAUCUGGAGGAACAUCAGUGGCGAAGGCGACUCCCUGGCCAAAGACUGACGCUCAUGUGCGAAAGUGUGGGUAGCGAACAGG